rnacentral:lncRNA from 1 species
ACCUGGCAGUGCCUGGUACAGGGGCUUUGAUCUUUCUCCAGCGAAGCACAGCCAGGGCUUAUCAGGCCGGCCCAGGGUCGUUAGGAAGAUUACAAGAGGGAAGGGAGACCGUUUUCUGCUGAGUCUGCACCAUCCAUGGCAGGUUCCUGGCUUCGCUGGCUCUCCUUGGCUCUGUCUUUCCCGAGGAUGGCUGGGAGAGAGCGGGAUCAAAGUCUACCCUGUCAUGAGAGCUUGCAACUGACGGAACUUCCAAUGUCUUGACACAACUGAAGUUGAUUCCAUCCAACUCACCGCCCUCCAACUUGUCCGGCAAUGCCCACAACCACUCCUGAGGUUGUACACCAGGGCCCCCACUGAAGGGCCGGUCAAAAUUGUAGCUUCCAGCGCCAUCCACACCCACUGAGCACACUCUUUGGUAAUGGAGACAGAGGACCUACAUUUCUAACAAGUUCUGGUCACUUUGAUGUA